GUUUUAAUGAUCAGUUUCAUUCAGACUUUGAUUCUGAAGAGCAUUUCAUACCUGUGUUACAGAUUUAAUAUCAUGCAUGAUACUGUAUAACAGGUCAAAGGUCAUCUGAUACAAAUCAGCAUCUAAAUAUUGCAGAAGAUUUCAUUAUAAAGCAGGAGGUUUUUGUACGACGCUUUCACUAGAAUGAAGCACUGUGGUGGACUUUUGGUGGAGGAACUAAAGUGACGAUCAGAACUGGUCCCUCCGUGAAGCCCUCCGUGUCUCUGCUGCCUCCCUCUUCUCUGCAGAUCUCUGGAGACUCAGCCGCACUGCUCUGUCUGCUCAGCUCUUACUCUCCACAGGGGGCGCAGGUGAGCUGGACGCUGGACGGGUCAGAGGUCACCCAGGGGGUUCAGACCAGCGCAGAGAGCGAGCGGGACGGACGCUACAGCCGCAGCAGCGUCCUGAGCCUCAGCAAAGCACGCUGGGAAGCCGGCGAGCGCUUCGUCUGCAGAGUAACACAUGACGGAGCUGCUCAGGAGACCUCGUUCCUCAAGAGCUCCGAGUGCUGAUGUUUCUCCAGUGAAGAGCAGCAGGAUUCACAGCAGUCUCCUGAUUUACAGCUCAAUACUCAAGCAGUCUUUCAAUGUGCUGCCAUUGCUGUUCAUUCAAUAAAGCUUCUGAACG